rnacentral:rRNA from 1 species
UACGGAGGGUGCAAGCGUUAUCCGGAUUCACUGGGUUUAAAGGGUGCGUAGGCGGGUUGGUAAGUCCGUGGUGAAAUCUCCAAGCUUAACUUGGAAACUGCCGUGGAUACUAUCAAUCUUGAAUAUCGUGGAGGUAAGCGGAAUAUGUCAUGUAGCGGUGAAAUGCUUAGAUAUGACAUAGAACACCAAUUGCGUAGGCAGCUUACUACACGAUCAUUGACGCUGAGGCACGAAAGCGUGGGGAGCAAAC